rnacentral:rRNA from 1 species
GAUGAACGCUGGCGGCGUGCCUAAUACAUGCAAGUCGAGCGAAUGGAUUAAGAGCUUGCUCUUAUGAAGUUAGCGGCGGACGGGUGAGUAACACGUGGGUAACCUGCCCAUAAGACUGGGAUAACUCCGGGAAACCGGGGCUAAUACCGGAUAACAUUUUGAACCGCAUGGUUCGAAAUUGAAAGGCGGCUUCGGCUGUCACUGAUGGAUGGACCCGCGUCGCAUUAGCUAGUUGGUGAGGUAACGGCUCACCAAGGCAAUGAUGCGUAGCCGACCGGAGAGGGUGAUCGGCCACACUGGGACUGAGACACGGCCCAGACUCCUACGGGAGGCAGCAGUAGGGAAUCUUCCGCAAUGGACGAAAGUCUGACGGAGCAACGCCGCGUGAGUGAUGAAGGCUUUCGGGUCGUAAAACUCUGUUGUUAGGGAAGAACAAGUGCUAGUUGAAUAAGCUGGCACCUUGACGGUACCUAACCAGAAAGCCACGGCUAACUACGUGCCAGCCGCCGCCGUAA